rnacentral:misc_RNA from 1 species
AACGCACGAGACCUGCGGACCUGCGGAAGGAUCAUUACCGAGUUAUCCAACUCCCAACCCCUGUGAAUCAUACCUUUAAUUGUUGCUUCGGCGGGACUUCGCGCCCGCCGGGGACCCAAACCUUCUGAAUUUUUUAAUAAGUAUCUUCUGAGUGGUUAAAAAAAAUGAAUCAAAACUUUUAGCAAUGGAUCUCU